AAAUGCGAUAAGUAAUGUGAAUUGCAGAAUUCAGUGAAUCAUCGAAUCUUUGAACGCACCUUGCGCUCCUUGGUAUUCCUUGGAGCAUGCCCGUUUGAGUAUCAUGAAAUCUUCAAAGUAAAUCUUUUGUUAACUCAAUUGGUUUCUACUUUGGUAUUGGAGGUCUUUGCAGCUUCACACCUGCUCCUCUUUGUUCAUUAGCUGGAUCUCAGUGUUAUGCUUGGUUCCACUCGGCGUGAUAAGUUAUCUAUCGCUGAGGACACUGUAAAAGGUGGCCAAGGUAAAUGCAGAUGAACCGCUUCUAAUAGUCCAUUGACUUGGACAAUACUUUUAUGAUCUGAUCUCAAAUCAGGUAGGACUACCCGCUGAACUUAAGC
rnacentral:misc_RNA from 1 species